AUCCAGCUGACGAGUCCCAACUAGGACGAAACGCGUGUCCUGGAU
rnacentral:hammerhead_ribozyme from 1 species